ACCAGAAAGUUCUAGAUCACCAAAGGAGAGACGGGAAUAGGAGCUCAGAUGAGGAGGGCAAAGCCUUCACCACCCAGGGGUCCCUUUCUGGGGGAAGUGACCGAGUGGAGUCUGGAAGAAGAGGAGGAGCCUGAAAACCGGCCCCUGGCUGGGACCGGUGGCCUUCUCCGAGAGGCCCCAGGCUGGGUCCGAGCCCCAGGGGCACAGGGCAGGCACAUCCCCGCUUCUCAGGAGCAAGAAGGCGACGCCUGCUGCUUCCUAGAACAUUGCGGCUCGGACGUUUCCCACUUUGCCGACCGAGCUCUGAAGAGCUGCACGUGGUCGAUAGGGAAGGGCCGUUUGGGCGGCGGGGAGAGGCCAUCCCCUCUCUCUGCACGUCUCUAGUUUCGGCUUGGAUAUCAAUUAUAGGCUUUUACAUAAGAAGGCUAAUGCGCUUUCAAAGCAGGCAGAUCACCCCCUUCCCCCCCCCAUGUUUUGACAGUUUGGCUUGAGUUGAAAUAUAAUUAAACUUUUCGAAAACAAGGGCUUUGAAACUCAA